GAAAGGGAAUCGGAACACAGGUGCUGCAUGGCUGUCGUCAGCUCGUGUCGUGAGAUGUUGGGUUAAGUCCCGCAACGAGCGCAACCCUUAUCAUUAGUUGCUACGCAAGGGCACGUCUAAUGAGACUGCCGGUGACAAACCGGAGAAGGUGGGGAUGACGUCAAGUCCUCAUUGGCCCUUAUGGGUAGGGCUUCACACGUCAUACAAUGGUCGGUACAGAGGGUUGCCAAGCCGCGAGGUGGAGCCAAUCCCAGAAAGCCGAUCGUAGUCCGGAUUGUUCUCUGCAACUCGAGAGCAUGAAGUCGGAAUCGCUAGUAAUCGCGGAUCAGCAUGUCGCGGUGAAUACGUUCCCGGGUCUU
rnacentral:rRNA from 1 species